rnacentral:piRNA from 1 species
UGAGAAGAGUUGCUUAUUGUUCGAAUGCC